rnacentral:rRNA from 1 species
CCUACGGGAGGCAGCAGUGGGGAAUAUUGCACAAUGGGGGUAACCCUGAUGCAGCGACGCCGCGUGAGUGAAGAAGUAUCUCGGUAUUUUAAGCUCUAUCAGCAGGGAAGAAAAUGACGGUACCUGACUCAGAAGCCCCGGCUAACUACGUGCCAGCAACCGCGGUAAUACGGAGGGCGCAAGCGUUAUCCGGAUUUACUGGGUGUAAAGGGAGCGUAGACGGCAGAGCAAGUCUGAAGUGAAAGCCCGCGGGCCAACUGCGGGACUGCUUUGGAAACUGCCCGGCUAGAGUGCUGGAGAGGUAAGCGGAAUUCCUAGUGUAGCGGUGAAAUGCGUAGAUAUUAGGAGGAACACCAGUGGCGAAGGCGGCUUACUGGACAGUAACUGACGUUGAGGCUCGAAAGCGUGGGGAGCAAACAGGAUUAGAUACCCUGGUAGUC